GAGUCUCCUGAAGGAACGUUAAAGACGAUGACGUUGAUAGGUCGGGUGUGUAAGCGUAGCGAUACGUUGAGCUAACCGAUACUAAUGAACCGUGAGGCUUAACCUU
rnacentral:rRNA from 1 species